UGUGGGAUGAGGUAGUAGAUUGUAUAGUUUUAGGGUCAUACCCCAUCUUGGAGAUAACUAUACAGUCUACUGUCUUUCCUACG
rnacentral:pre_miRNA from 1 species